UACAGGGGGGGGCAAGCUUGUUCGGAAUUACUGGGCGUAAAGGGCUCGUAGGCGGCCAACUAAGUCACACGUGAAAUCCCCAGGCUUAACCUGGGAACUGCGUGUGAUACUGGAUGGCUUGAAUCCGGGAGAGGGAUGCGGAAUUCCAGGUGUAGCGGUGAAAUGCGUAGAUAUCUGGAGGAACACCGGUGGCGAAGGCGGCAUCCUGGACCGGUAUUGACGCUGAUGAGCGAAAGCCAGGGGAGCAAACGGG
rnacentral:rRNA from 1 species